AGUGGGGAAUAUUGCACAAUGGAGGAAACUCUGAUGCAGCAACGCCGCGUGGAGGAUGACACAUUUCGGUGCGUAAACUCCUUUUAUAUGGGAAGAUAAUGACGGUACCAUAUGAAUAAGCACCGGCUAACUCCGUGCCAGCAGCCGCGGUAAUACGGAGGGUGCAAGCGUUACUCGGAAUCACUGGGCGUAAAGCGCGCGCAGGCGGCUUGAUAAGUUGGAUGUGAAAGCCUACGGCUCAACCGUAGAACUGCAUCCAAAACUGUCAAGCUAGAGUCUGGGAGGGGAAGAUGGAAUUAGUUGUGUAGGGGUAAAAUCCGUAGAGAUAACUAGGAAUACCAAAAGCGAAGGCGAUCUUCUGGAACAGUACUGACGCUGAGGCGCGAAAGCGUGGGGAGCAAACAGGAUUAGAUACCCUGGUAGUCCACGCCCUAAACGAUGAAUGUUAGUCGUCGGAGGCCUAGUGUCUUCGGUGAUGCAGCUAACGCAUUAAACAUUCCGCCUGGGGAGUACGGUCGCAAGAUUAAAACUCAAAGGAAUAGACGGGGACCCGCACAAGUGGUGGAGCAUGUGGUUUAAUUCGAAGAUACGCGAAGAACCUUACCUAGCCUUGACAUAUAUUAGAAUCCACCAGAGAUGGAGGAGUGCCUUCGGGAGCUUUUAUACAGGUGCUGCACGGCUGUCGUCAGCUCGUGUCGUGAGAUGUUGGGUUAAGUCCCGCAACGAGCGCAACCCUCGUCACUAGUUACUAACGGUUCGGCCGAGGACUCUAGUGAGACUGCCUUCGUAAGGAGGAGGAAGGUGAGGACGACGUCAAGUCAUCAUGGCCCUUACGGCUAGGGCAACACACGUGCUACAAUGGCCAGGACAGUGAGACGCGAUACCGCGAGGUGGAGCAAAUCUAUAAACCUGGUCUCAGUUCGGAUUGUAGUCUGCAACUCGACUACAUGAAGCUGGAAUCACUAGUAAUCGUAGAUCAGCUAUGCUACGGUGAAUACGU
rnacentral:rRNA from 1 species